ensembl:lncRNA
GGAUGUAAGGUGAAGGGAUGUAAAAAGCUAGAAAAUAUUUCAUCUAUUUGUUUAUUUAUGGUGGGCCCAGUUGAGGGUGCAAUUUAUAGAAGCGUGAAUUUAUAGAAGCGUCACUUGGUGUGGUUGGGAAAUGAUUCUAGCUGGGUUGAGACUUUGUGGGACGGGUGGGCUAAAGACAAUAACAAUGGAACAGAGUGGUCAAAGAGUGGGUGAAGUGAUGGUCUUGGACAUAUAAACUGGAAGGAGUAUAAAGCCAGAAAGAGAAGAUUAGGAAAAAGCAAAAAGGUCAAGGGCAAGGGAUCACUGUGAGGCUGAAGGGUAAGUAGAAUGGGAGUGAGGGCAUCAGGGAGCUCAAAGGACUCAGGAGGCUGUGGGCAGAGUGGAAUGUGGGUACAGAAUUUCAGAGACAGACCAGUUGCCCUGAGUGGUCCUGGGAGAGGGGACGGCAGUAGGAGCUGAAGAACUCAAGACUGUGAGGCUGUACUUGGAGGGACACUUAGAACCACGGCAGGGUACGGGGUGAGGGAAAAACUGAUCUAAGUCCCCAAGUUUUCAAGGAACCAGAGGGUAACCCUGGGAGGUCUAUGGGUGAGAAGAAGCCUUGGUGUGAGCAUCAUAAGUUAAUGGGAGUUUAUUCAGCAGCUGGGACCGCUCAGUCUGUGGCAUGUGCGUGACACCUAAAAGUGUUUCUUAUGGGAUGUACAAGGUGUUGGUAAGAGUGACUGCAACACAGCAUCCUGUUAGUGUCAGGUCUCUGAGACACCUGCUAUGUACAGACAGCCCUGAAGUACAACCUAGAUGUUGGUGGGCUGUGACAGGUUCCCAGUGGAUGCAUGUUGCUCCAGCAGUGUCUCAGGAAGGGUGCUGGCAGCAACCAUGUCUCCCAUGCUGUGCGCUGGCUUUGACAGAGGUCCUGUGGGAAUGUGUUGGCUGCACCAUUUCUGCCGUGGGUGUGCACUAUUCUCAGAGCACCUUCUGUAAACGUAUGUUGGCUCUGACAGUGCUUCCGGGGGGGGCGUGUGAUGGCUGUGAAGGCAUCUCUUGUGGACGUGUGCUGCCUGUGACUGUCCCCUGUGGGUAUUUGAGGAGCUGACAUUAGCAACAAUAUUUUUCUGGCCUGUGACCCUGUGGCUGCGGGCCCAGCCCACGCCACACUGAGUUCAUUGUGCUUCUGGACCUCCCCUUCCCCACCCCCUCCACGUGGGCCGAGGCUGGUGGUGACCUCCCUCUGUCCCCCGUGCAGGAUUCUGAUCUAGGCAGCCUGGACCCAAACUGAACACAGUCUGGGUGACGGGCCUCCAGCCUGGGCUUGGCCUGUCUCUUCUCUGUUUCUCUUUACUUCUCCCCCCUCAGUUUCUUUGUCUCAGUUUGUCUGUCACACACCCAUCCUCCACUUUCUGACACAUGGCUCCCACAGAGGCAGGCAACACACACACACACACACACCACACACACACUCCCUCACAAGGACUCGCUCACCAGACACACACUCACUCUGACCCACACCCCAUCAUAGUGACACGCACGUACACACGGCCAGACACAUACACGCAGACACACAACUUCCCAGUGACACGCACUGACUCACACUAGGCGAUGCACUCGCGCUCACACUCACACUCGGAGGAGCACACACACACCCUGCCCACACCCCCAGCACACUCACGCCGCCACACACCCGACGC